GACGAACCGAGCGAACGUUGUUCGGAAUCACUGGGCUUAAAGGGCGCGUAGGCGGGCUGUCAAGUCUGGGGUGAAAUCCCGCGGCUCAACCGUGGAACUGCCUCAGAUACUGACGGUCUCGAGGGAGGUAGGGGCGAGCGGAACUGAUGGUGGAGCGGUGAAAUGCGUUGAUAUCAUCAGGAACACCGGUGGCGAAGGCGGGUCUCUGGGCGAGUGAACUGACGCUGGAGGAGCGAAAGACGUGGGGAGCGAACAGG
rnacentral:rRNA from 1 species